rnacentral:siRNA from 1 species
UUUAGGAUAGUUUUGCGUGCAU